AGUCAAUAGAUACCCUGGUAGUCCACGCCGUAAACGAUGUCGACUUGGAGGUUGUGCCCUUGAGGCGUGGCUUCCGGAGCUAAACGCGUUAAGUCGACCGCCUGGGGAGUACGGCCGCAAGGUUAAAACUCAAAUGAAUUGACGGGGGGCCCGCACAAGCGGUGGAGCAUGUGGUUUAAUUCGAUGCAACGCGAAGAACCUUACCUACUCUUGACGUCCAGAGAACUUUCCAGAGAUGGAUUGGUGCCUUCGGGAACUCUGAGACAGGUGCUGCAUGGCUGUCGUCAGCUCGUGUUGUGAAAUGUGGGUUAAGUCCCGCAACGAGCGCAACCCUUAUCUUUUGUUGCCAGCGGUUAGGCCGGGAACUCAAAGGAGACUGCCAGUGAUAAACUGGAGGAAGUGGGGAUGACGUCAAGUCAUCAUGGCCCUUACGGAUAGGGCUACGACACGUGCUACAAUGGCGCAUCAAAGUAGAAGCGACCUCGCGAGAGCAAGCGGGACCUCAUAAACGUGCGUCGUAGUCCGGAUUGGAGU
rnacentral:rRNA from 1 species